UUCAAGGCCCGAGGGCUCUCGGCCCCCUGAGCCCGAGCCCGGUCCUGGGCGCUCUGUUCUCGGCCUCCACGCCCUCCUGUCUGAUGACAGGCGCAGAGUUAGGACCAGGGCAGCGCCGGCCACAGGGCCCGGCGCUGGGUGCAGCACCGGCUCCGCCUGCGCCUGGCGCAGCCUGUGGUCCCAGCGGCCCAGGACGCUGAGGCAGGAGGGUCGCCUGCAGAGCCACCCCGUGCCAUGGCAGGCGCUAGGCCACCAGUGAGGCCCUGCCUCUAAGUAAAAGAGCAAGUAUGGCUGGGCUCAGAGGCCGAGGCCCCGAGUUCCAUCCCGGCACCCCAAACAACCAGCUGCAGCCCGGCUAAUUCAUACAGGAGAGAACCUAGAUCAGGAUGUCCCCCACCUUGACCACAGUGCCGAAACUACAAGGGGCAGUCAGGUUUUGCUGGCUGACUGGUUUUCAAUGAGCUCCUUCCCUGUGCUGGGCCUUAUUUUCCCCCAUCUGUGUAACUGGGUUUUCUUGUUCUCCUGUCUGUCCCUAGAAAAGUCAGAAUGAAAGUUGACAGACAAGAUAUUCCUUUGUGGUAAGCAAACCCUGAUCUGCCUCUGGUGCCCACUGAGCCCACAAUAAACCUCAGUUAGCCUCAUUGACAGACCACUCAGACACCCAAACUGGAAGGCCUGAGGGUGACCUCCUGGAGGUUCACGACUGACACAGGACUUGAGGCUGCCAUCAUGACGGGCUACUGAUUCCCGCAUCUGUUCUCUUCACAGUCGGUACACUUAUGUCUUUUUCACAGUUAGACAUUUACAUUUAUGUAUUGAUUAAUUAAAAUAUGUUUACUGAACAUUCUACUGCCAUGUAUUACUAAAAAUAAAAAAUUAAAAAAUUCAAUAAAAAAAUGUUUAUUGAAUAUCUGAAA